UCUCGUCUGGAGAUCUGCUCUGCUGUUUUGUGGGUGAGCCUAGCAUAAGGCAAUGCUCUCAUGGAUGCCCAUCUUUUCAGAAGCAAUGAAGGAACACAUAAUUGCAGUAAUAAUCCAGAUCCACCUGUAAGUGUUUCCAAAGCAGUUGGAGAGUGGUGAGAUAAAGAACAGAUGCAAGAUCUGAAUCCUGAUGACUGAGAUUAGAACACACCCAGCUAUGAGCCAACCCAGCAGCAGAACCUGCUGACUGCCAGUGGGAAACCAAGCUGCAAGAAAAUGAGGAGCAGCAGAGCUAUCAGGAAAGACAAAUAAUUGAGCAAAAUGGAGUUAAAAAAAAGAGAGAGAGAGAGAGAGAGACCAUUCACAGCUCUAAGCACAUGAUAAUAAGAAGUGGGGUUUCAUUUUUAAAUGUUUUUCCUGUACAGAACAAAGAGACAAGAAUGUUAACCACAUCUGCCUUUCAGUACAGCAAAGAAAUUACUGAGGAGGACAACGAAGAGGUACCUGAUGAGUACACGUGAUGUGAACUCACAGCUACUUCACACUUUCACACUGCUUUCAGAUCUCUAAUAUCAUUUCUAAUAUAUCUAAUAUCUGAUAUCUGAUAUCAGAUAAUAAACUGAUAUCUAAUAUCAGUUUCUGCAAUUCUUAAAUGGAAUAUGCUAUCUAGUUAUUUAUUCUUAGGUGGAACAUAAAACUGUUCCUAUACAAGCCCCUCUCUGGCCCUCUUGAAGCAAUUCCUGUGGAGUAACACAAGCCACACAGGAAAGCACAAUGCUAAGGCAGGUUUUAAAAGGCAUUUCUGAUAACCUUGCAAUACUAUUAUCCCCAGAGCCAGAUGACCCCAAAAGCCCAGCUCUGACACAUGAAUGACUGGGGCUUGUAGACUUUAACAGGGCCUCCCAUGCAGCAGGGAAGCUGAGCAAAUGAGCUGCAGGAUGCACAUUCUUCACAGAGUUGUUUACUCGCAGCCACAAAGCACGCAAACACCUCUGCGCUAUAAAUCACAGGGUUAGUGAGGCAGAGAGGAUGGGAACUUGUGUCAGCCCAGCAGUGUCAGUACCCACGGGUUCAGGGCAGCUUCCACCACAGAGUCCUGGAGUCACUAUGAGCCAGAAAAGUUAUUACCAAGCAGCAUUCAAAAAGUCAAGAGCAGCAUGCUCGAUACUGUACAGUAAUUAAGCUAAGUGUAAAUCAGGCUGAGUAGCACAUGCGUUCAUUAAUCAGGCAUUUUUCAACAAUCAAACAGGAAAAAUCAUGACAAAAAUCAACAAAAAACAAAUGACUGAAGAGCUCCAACUAUGGAGUACAAAGGAAAGCAUUUCUCAGUAACUUUUUAAGUCUCUGCUUAUGCAGGUAAACAGUAACAUACAGCAUACAAAACCAUCCCUAUUCAGCUGUAUUAUUUAAUCAGUAGUGUUAAGGUCUAGUACAGAGCAUGCAAAUUAGAGCCAACUCCUGAUAUUUAGCUACUAAAGAGUGUUUCCUGCCAGAGUUUGAUCUUCCCAUUUAACAUAGCAAAGAAUUCUGAAAUGA